GCCUUCAUGGCGCAGUGGUAACGCGUCGGUAUGUUCUGAGCACAUUUCGUAACCUAUUCAUUACUAACAUUAUCUAGCACUUGUAUGAGUGUUGCACCACUCUUCGUAAAUGCGAAGAUCCCUAGUUCAAUUCUGGGUGAAGGCA